AAACUCGAUCCACCUAAAAGGAAACAACAAACAAUCACUCUCAUCUAACAAAAGGGAAAGUGUGCUUGCGGACACUUCUUCAUCUUCAUCAAGUAAGAUGUGGAGUUCAAUCAUUACUCAACAAAUGAGGAGAUUUUCCCUUAGUAUUACUCAAUGAGAUUCAAAACAGAAUAUUUGUAGUUCACAUUCAGUGAGGGAUCGCAUGAGGAAGGCGUGGAAGUGCGGGU
rnacentral:lncRNA from 1 species